AGGGAAAAUAAUGACAAAUAGUGUUAUAUAAAUUAUACAUGCUGAAUACUGUGUGUCAUUAACUCUGAAAUCUAG